CGGGGGCGUAGCUCAGUUGGUUAGAGCGCCGGCCUGUCACGCCGGAGGUCGCGGGUUCGAGUCCCGUCGCUCCCGUCCA
rnacentral:tRNA from 1 species